rnacentral:rRNA from 1 species
AGUGAACGCUGGCGGUAGGCCUAACACAUGCAAGUCGAACGGCAGCGCAGUAAGAGCUUGCUCUUACGGGUGGCGAGUGGCGGACGGGUGAGGAAUACAUCGGAAUCUACUUUUUCGUGGGGGAUAACGUAGGGAAACUUACGCUAGUACCGCAUACGACCUACGGGUGAAAGCAGGGGAUCUUCGGACCUUGCGCGAUUGAAUGAGCCGAUGUCGGAUUAGCUAGUUGGCGGGGUAAAGGCCCACCAAGGCGACGAUCCGUAGCUGGUCUGAGAGGAUGAUCAGCCACACUGGAACUGAGACACGGUCCAGACUCCUACGGGAGGCAGCAGUGGGGAAUAUUGGACAAUGGGCGCAAGCCUGAUCCAGCCAUACCGCGUGGGUGAAGAAGGCCUUCGGGUUGUAAAGCCCUUUUGUUGGGAAAGAAAAGCAGCAGGUUAAUACCCCGCUGUUCUGACGGUACCCAAAGAAUAAGCACCGGCUAACUUCGUG